AUUGGAUGAGCCCGCGGCCUAUCAGCUUGUUGGUGGGGUAACGGCCUACCAAGGCGAUGACGGGUAGCUGGCGUGAGAGCGUGGCCAGCCACACUGGGACUGAGACACGGCCCAGACUCCUACGGGAGGUAGCAGUGGGGAAUAUUGCGCAAUGGGCGAAAGCCUGACGCAGCGACGCCGCGUGGGGGAGGAAGGCCUCAGGGUUGUAAACCCCUGUCAGGUGGGACGAACCGCAGGUCGGCGAAUACCCGGUCUGUCUGACGGUACCACCAGAGGAAGCUCCGGCUAACUACGUGCCAGCAGCCGCGGCCGAAU
rnacentral:rRNA from 1 species